GGGGUUGUAGCUCAGUGGUAGAGCGCUUACCUAGCAAGCAUGAGGCACUGGGUUUGAUCUUCAGCACCAUAUAAAAAUAAAUAAAAAAAUAAAGAUAUUGUAUUAAUAUUCAACAAAAAUAAAUAAAUUAAAAAGCUCUGGGAAUGUAGCUCAGAGGUAGAGAGUCCCUGGGUUCAAUCCCCAGUGCCCCCC
rnacentral:tRNA from 1 species